ACUCGCGCACAACAGCCAGACCGUCCGCUCAUCCCCUUUCUCUCCCGGGCGACGCGACGGCGACGGCCGAUUGCUAGCGGCGGAGAGGAUGUUCCCCAAGAUCAGCGGCGGCGUGACAUGGCGAGGGUCAGCGCGCUAAGUCGUACGCGGGCGGCGCUCACGAGCUCUUGGUCUCCGGCGGCUACGACGCGAGAUCUUUGGUCUCCGGCGACGGCGGCGCGAGCUAUUGGUCGUCGGCUGCGGCGGCGCGAACUCUUGGCCAGAUUGUGCCACGGCGAGAUUCAGAGCUAUGUUAGAUGCGUGAUGAAACAGUACCACACAAGAUGCAGAUUCUGAUAACAAAAGCUAAACAAGCCAAUAUAUUGUUCAAUCUUGCAUCAUCAACACUAUCAUAUGGUUGCCAGUGUAUAUCUUGUCAGGACAUGUCAUCUCUGCAAACAAGUGCAGACUCAAUCCUUCUCUGAACAUACCAUCAGCUAGUGCCCUCCCUGUGAACAUCUUCAGGAUCCAGCAGAAUUAUCCAAAAGUUGUAAGCAUCACCAGCAGCUGAUGCAGAAAGGGCACAAAAUCAAGGCAGUUCAGUAAGAAAUAUGUCUGUUGGAAACAUCCCUAUAUAUUGUUGUUGUUCCGUGAUGUUGUACAUUGUAAACAUAUCUCCUUAUUCAGGGAUUUAGUUAGCCACGACUGACUAGCACGUUCGUGCACUCAUGUACUUGGUUGAGAUCAAUACAAAAGUGGGUUUCAUCA